UACGUAGGGGGGCUAGCGUUGUCCCGGAAUCAUUUGGGCGUAAAGCGCGUGUAGGCGGCCCGGUAAGUCCGCUGUGAAAGUCGGGGGGCUCAACCCUCGGAUGCCGGUGGAUACUGUCGGGCUUGAGUACGGAAGAGGCGAGUGGAAUUCCUGGUGUAGCGGUGAAAUGCGCAGAUAUCAGGAGGAACACCGAUUGCGAAGGCAGCUCGCUGGGACGUUACUGACGCUGAGACGCGAAAGCGUGGGGAGCAA
rnacentral:rRNA from 1 species